CCUACGGGAGGCAGCAGUGGGGAAUCUUGCACAAUGGAGGAAACUCUGAUGCAGCGAUGCCGCGUGAGUGAAGAAGGCCUUUGGGUUGUAAAGCUCUUUUGUAGGGGAAGAUAAUGACUGUACCCUAAGAAUAAGGUCCGGCUAACUUCGUGCCAGCAGCCGCGGUAAUACGAAGGGACCUAGCGUAGUUCGGAAUUACUGGGCGUAAAGCGCGCGUAGGCCGUUGAGUUAGUUAAUUGUGAAAUCCCAAAGCUUAACUUCGGAACUGCAAUUAAAACUGCUCGACUAGAGUUUGAUAGAGGAAAGCGGAAUACAUAGUGUAGAGGUGAAAUUCGUAGAUAUUAUGUAGAACACCAGUUGCGAAGGCGGCUUUCUGGAUCAACACUGACGCUGAGGCGCGAAAGUAUGGGUAGCAAAGAGGAUUAGAUACCCUCGUAGUCCAUACCAUAAACGAUGAUNNUANAUGUUGUAAUUAUUUACUAUAUCGCAGCUACGCAUAAGUACACUACCGCCGUGGGUAGGUACGACCGCCGAACGGUUAAAACGUAACAAAUAGAAGUUAAGUACGGUCGUUGAGACGUUGCCGAACGGACGACGACGAGGGAGGUUAGG
rnacentral:rRNA from 1 species